GACGAACGCUGGCGGCGUGCUUAACACAUGCAAGUCGAACGGAAAGGCCCUGCUUUUGUGGGGUGCUCGAGUGGCGAACGGGUGAGUAACACGUGAGUAACCUGCCCUUGACUUUGGGAUAACUUCAGGAAACUGGGGCUAAUACCGGAUAGGAGCUCCUGCUGCAUGGUGGGGGUUGGAAAGUUUCGGCGGUUGGGGAUGGAUUAGCGGCUUAUCAGCUUGUUGGUGGGGUAGUGGCUUACCAAGGCUUUGACGGGUAGCCGGCCUGAGAGGGUGACCGGCGACCUUGGGACUGAGAUACGGCGCAGACUCCUACGGGAGGCAGCAGUGGGGAAUAUUGCGCAGUGGGCCGAAGCCUGAUGCAGCAACGCCGCGUGCGUGAUGACGGCCUUCGGGUUGUAAACCGCUUUCGCCUGUGACGAAGCGUGAGUGACGGUAAUGGGUAAAGAAGCACCGGCUAACUACGUG
rnacentral:rRNA from 1 species